rnacentral:tRNA from 1 species
UCCCUGGUGAUCUAGUGGUUAAAGAUCCUGUGCUCUCACUGCUGUGGCCUGGGUUCGAUUCCCGAGCAGGGAA